AUUGAACGCUGGCGGCAGGCCUAACACAUGCAAGUCGAACGAGUGGCGGACGGGUGAGUAAUGUCUGGGAAACUGCCUGAUGGAGGGGGAUAACUACUGGAAACGGUAGCUAAUACCGCAUACCAUCAGAUGUGCCCAGAUGGGAUUAGCUAGUUGGUGGGGUAACGGCUCACCAAGGCGACGAUCCCUAGCUGGUUUGAGAGGAUGACCAGCCAGACUGGAACUGAGAUACGGGCCAGACUCCGACGGGAGGCAGCAGUGGGGAAUAUUGGACAAUGGGGGCAAGCUUGAUGCAGCCAUGACGCGUGUAUGAGGAAGGCCUUCGGGUUGUAAAGUACUUUCGGCGGGGAGGCGGUACCCGCAGAAUAAGCACCGGCUAACUCCGUGCCAGCAGCCGCGGUAAUAC
rnacentral:rRNA from 1 species